CCAGGUGUUAUCACCUUGUCUUCACCACGUGAUAAUACCGGCUUCCUCACCUCCU
rnacentral:misc_RNA from 1 species